rnacentral:lncRNA from 1 species
GAACUUAUUUAUAGGAAACUAAAUUUGCUCACAAAUCUAGAUAUUUAUUACAUUGGAAAUGAUAAAACAAAUGCAUGAAUGAGAGAGAGUGUUCACAAGGAUUCCUUACAUGUAGGAGAGAGAAGCUUUUCAUGCAAUUAACCACCUAAUUUUCGUAACUCUUCUUGGACAUCAAACAAACCACUUGUUUAUGAAUCUUUUUGGGAUUGUAACUUGAUAAAAAUGGGCUGGACAUGCUACCUAACAUUAUUGAUCAAUUUCUGAAUGUCUUUCAUGUCUAUAGCUUCAUAUAUCAGCCCAUGAUCACAUCAUACUCCUCCUCUUCAAAAAGAUUUGUCCUCAAAUCUUGCUCUCCGAAGAAAGAAAAACUUGAACACACACUUCCCAAAAGAUCCAGCAGAUUUGUAGAACAUAAAUAACAAAACAUUUUUUUUCUCUUUUUUUUUUCUUUAGAAGAUGGAUAGAUGAGAAUGGUGGAUAAGAGAAGUGAAUACCGCUUUCAGAGUGGCUCUGAUACCAAAUGAUAAAAACCUCCCAAGGAAUACACUCUGAAAUUGGUAAGGGAUAAACCUUGCACCGAAUGAGCCCGAAAGCAACAAACGAUCAAGGGAUGUGGAUCGAAAGAUGACACAAGAGGAGCGGAAAGUCUCUUGAUACUACCCUAUAAUGACCGCCUCUAGAUAUGACACACUAGAUUAGACCAAGUUAGACUGAAGGAUAUUACACACCAACAAUCAUAAAUUUUUUGACCAAUGGAUAUGACACACCAUGAUCGAAAACAAGUUUGAGAACUACUCUCAAGGUUCCAAAAGUAUAAACUCAACUCUUAUUUUAUUUCAAUAGAGAUUAGAACUUAUUUAUAGGAAACUAAACUUGCUCACAAAUCUAGAUAUUUAUUACAUUGGAAAUGAUAAAACAAAUGCAUGGAUGAGAGAGAGUGUUCUUGAAACAACGAUUCCUUGCAUGUAGGAGAGAGAAGCUUUUCAUGCAAUUAACCACAUAAUUUUCGUAACUCCUCCUGGACAUCAAACAAACCACUUGUUUAUGAAUCUUUUUGGAAUUGUAACUUGAUAAAAAUGGGCUGGACAUGCUACCUAACAUCAUUGAUCAAUUUCUGAAUAUCUUUCAUGUCUAUAGCUUUAUAUAUCAGCCCAUGAUCACAUCACUUAUACGAUCCCCAAAAGCUCUCCCAACGUAUUUUCCCACCUCAAAUAUUGGUAAAC